rnacentral:rRNA from 1 species
GAUGAACGCUGGCGGCGUGCCUAAUACAUGCAAGUCGAGCGAACAGACGAGGAGCUUGCUCCUCUGACGUUAGCGGCGGACGGGUGAGUAACACGUGGAUAACCUACCUAUAAGACUGGGAUAACUUCGGGAAACCGGAGCUAAUACCGGAUAAUAUAUUGAACCGCAUGGUUCAAUAGUGAAAGACGGUUUUGCUGUCACUUAUAGAUGGAUCCGCGCCGCAUUAGCUAGUUGGUAAGGUAACGGCUUACCAAUGCGACGAUGCGUAGCCGACCUGAGAGGGUGAUCGGCCACACUGGAACUGAGACACGGUCCAGACUCCUACGGGAGGCAGCAGUAGGGAAUCUUCCGCAAAGGGCGAAAGCCUGACGGAGCAACGCCGCGUGAGUGAUGAAGGUCUUCGGAUCGUAAAACUCUGUUAUUAGGGAAGAACAAAUGUGUAAGUAACUAUGCACGUCUUGACGGUACCUAAUCAGAAAGCCACGGCUAACUACGUG